rnacentral:rRNA from 1 species
GGGGGAUAUUGCGCAAUGGGGGCAACCCUGACGCAGCAACGCCGCGUGAAGGAUGAAGGUUUUCGGAUUGUAAACUUCUUUUAUUAAGGACGAAACUUGACGGUACUUAAUGAAUAAGCUCCGGCUAACUACGUGCCAGCAGCCGCGGUAAUACGUAGGGAGCAAGCGUUGUCCGGAUUUACUGGGUGUAAAGGGUGCGUAGGCGGCUUUGCAAGUCAGAUGUGAAAUCUAUGGGCUCAACCCCGGGACUGCAUUUGAAACUGUAGAGCUUGAGUGAAGUAGGGGCAGGCGGAAUUCCCCGUGUAGCGGUGAAAUGCGUAGAGAUGGGGAGGAACACCAGUGGCGAAGGCGGCCUGCUGGGCUUUAACUGACGCUGAGGCACGAAAGCGUGGGUAGCAAACAGGAUUAGAUACCCUGGUAGUCCACGCUGUAAACGAUGAUUACUAGGUGUGGGGGGUCUGACCCCUUCCGUGCCGGAGUUAACACAAUAAGUAAUCCACCUGGGGAGUACGGCCGCAAGGUUGAAACUCAAAGGAAUUGACGGGGGCCCGCACAAGCAGUGGAGUAUGUGGUUUAAUUCGAAGCAACGCGAAGAACCUUACCAGGUCUUGACAUCCAACUAACGAAGUAGAGAUACAUUAGGUGCCCUUCGGGGAAAGUUGAGACAGGUGGUGCAUGGUUGUCGUCAGCUCGUGUCGUGAGAUGUUGGGUUAAGUCCCGCAACGAGCGCAACCCUUGCUAUUAGUUGCUACGCAAGAGCACUCUAAUAGGACUGCCGUUGACAAAACGGAGGAAGGUGGGGACGACGUCAAAUCAUCAUGCCCCUUAUGACCUGGGCUACACACGUACUACAAUGGAUGUUAACAGAGGGAAGCAAGACAGCGAUGUGGAGCAAACCCCUAAAAACAUUCUCAGUUCAGAUUGCAGGCUGCAACCCGCCUGCAUGAAGAUGGAAUUGCUAGUAAUCGCGGAUCAGCAUGCCGCGGUGAAUACGUUCCCG